rnacentral:tRNA from 9 species
AGGGGUAUAGCUCAGUUGGUAGAGCGGCGGUCUCCAAAACCGCAGGUCGUGGGUUCGAACCCUACUGCCCCUGCCA